GGAGGGUGCGAGCGUUAAUCGGAAUUACUGGGCGUAAAGCGCGCGUAGGCGGCUUGGUCAGUCGGAUGUGAAAGCCCCGGGCUUAACCUGGGAAUUGCAUUCGAUACUGCCUGGCUAGAGUAUGGUAGAGGGAAGUGGAAUUUCCGGUGUAGCGGUGAAAUGCGUAGAUAUCGGAAGGAACACCAGUGGCGAAGGCGGCUUCCUGGACCAAUACUGACGCUCAGGUGCGAAAGCGUGGGGAGCGAACAGGGAUUAGAUACCCUGGUAGUCCACGCCGUAAACGAUGAGAACUAGAUGUUGGGAGGAUUUGCCUUUCAGUGUCGCAGCUAACGCGUUAAGUUCUCCGCCUGGGGAGUACGGCCGCAAGGUUG
rnacentral:rRNA from 1 species